rnacentral:rRNA from 1 species
UACGGGGGGGGCAAGCGUUGUUCGGAAUUACUGGGCGUAAAGGGCUCGUAGGUGGCCAACUAAGUCAUACGUGAAAUCCCUCGGCUUAACCGGGGAACUGCGUCUGAUACUGGAUGGCUCGAGGUUGGGAGAGGGACGCGGAAUUCCAGGUGUAGCGGUGAAAUGCGUAGAUAUCUGGAGGAACACCGGUGGCGAAGGCGGCGUCCUGGACCAAUUCUGACACUGAGGAGCGAAAGCCAGGGGAGCAAACGGG